rnacentral:rRNA from 1 species
UACAGAGGUCUCAAGCGUUGUUCGGAUUCAUUGGGCGUAAAGGGUGCGUAGGUGGCGCUGUAAGUCGGACGUGAAAUCCCUCAGCUUAACUGGGGAACUGCGUCCGAUACUGGAUGGCUUGGAUUUGGGAGAGGGAUGCGGAAUUCCAGGUGUAGCGGUGAAAUGCGCAGAUAUCUGGAGGAACACCGGUGGCGAAGGCGGCAUCCUGGACCAACACUGACACUGAGGAGCGAAAGCCAGGGGAGCAAACGGGGAGUUAG